GUAAAAUUGAAAAUGGAAAAGGGGAAUCUGUCAAAGAGACAACAACCCGACCAUGCAAAGAGCAGACAACAGCCGAAGGCCACCAAUGGGUCUUGAAUGUAGCGAGAAACUCCCGCACCCGGAGGCGUGCUUCAGCUGGCCCCUGAAUAAAAAUGUAUACUAGUACUAGUUCAGUGAUAAUGAACGUAAUAAUAAACUCCGAAAUAUACACAAGAAACUAGAAUUAAAAAUCAUACAAGACUAACAAAGGCCAGAGGCUCCUGACUUGGGACAGGCGCAAAAAUGCGGCUGGGUUAAACAUGUUUUUGAGGGCUCAACCCUCCCCCUAUACCUCUAGCCAAUGUAGAAAAAACAAACACACAACAAUGCGUUUAUCGUACUCGUCCGAA
rnacentral:lncRNA from 1 species